GACGAACGCUGGCGGCGUGCUUAACACAUGCAAGUCGAACGGAAAGGCCCUGCUCUUGUGGGGUUCUCGAGUGCGGAACGGGUGAGUGUAACGUGUGUAACCUGCCCUUGUCUUUCGGAGAACAUCACGAAACUGCGGCUAAUAUCGGAUAGGAGAUCCUGAAGCGUGGUGGGGGUUGGAGAGUGUCGGCUGUGGGGGAUGGACUCGCGGCUUAUCAGCUUGUUGGUGGGGUAGUGGCUGACCAAGGCUUUGACGGGUAGCCGGCCUGAGAGGGUGACCGGCCACAAUGGGACUGAGAUAGGGCCCAGACUCCUACGGUCGGCAGCAGUGGGAAGUAUUGCAGAGUGGGCGGGAGCCUGAUGCAGCAACGUCGCGUGCGGGAUGACGGGCUUCGGGUUGUAAACCGCUUUCGCCUGUGACGAAGCGUGAGUGACGGUAAUGGGUAAAGAAGCACCGGCUAACUACGUG
rnacentral:rRNA from 1 species